CGAGAGGUAGUAUAAGUGAUUAAUUACAUGACGCUUACAACGUCAAAAUAAGGGAUACCCUUCCCCUCGA
rnacentral:tRNA from 1 species